AUUGAACGCUGGCGGCAUGCCUUACACAUGCAAGUCGAACGGCAGCACGGGAGCAAUCCUGGUGGCGAGUGGCGAACGGGUGAGUAAUAUAUCGGAACGUGCCCAGUCGUGGGGGAUAACGUAGCGAAAGCUACGCUAAUACCGCAUACGAUCUACGGAUGAAAGCGGGGGAUCGCAAGACCUCGCGCGAUUGGAGCGGCCGAUAUCAGAUUAGCUAGUUGGUGGGGUAAAAGCUCACCAAGGCGACGAUCUGUAGCUGGUCUGAGAGGACGACCAGCCACACUGGAACUGAGACACGGUCCAGACUCCUACGGGAGGCAGCAGUGGGGAAUUUUGGACAAUGGGCGCAAGCCUGAUCCAGCAAUGCCGCGUGCAGGAUGAAGGCCUUCGGUUGUAACUGCUUUGUACGGAACGAACGGUAGAGCUCUAAUAAAGACUUGCUAAUGACGGUACCGUAAGAAUAAGACACCGGACUAACUAACGUGCC
rnacentral:rRNA from 1 species